rnacentral:rRNA from 1 species
GAGUUUGAUCAUGGCUCAGAACGUACGCUGGCGGCACGCCUAACACAUGCAAGUCGAACGAAGUAGCAAUACUUAGUGGCAGACGGGUGAGUAACAUGUAGGUAUCUGCCCUUUGGCCUGGAAUAACACGAGGAAACUUGUGCUAAUACCGGAUAAGUCUUUACGGAGAAAGCUUUAUGCACCAUUGGAUGAGCCUGCACUUGAUUAGUUUGUUGGUGGGGUAAUGGCCUACCAAGACUGUGAUCAAUAGCUGAUUUGAGAGGAUGAUCAGCCACAUUGGGACUGAGACACGGCCCAAACUCCUACGGGAGGCAGCAGUGGGGAAUCUUGCACAAUGGAGGAAACUCUGAUGCAGCGAUGCCGCGUGAGUGAAGAAGGCCUUUGGGUUGUAAAGCUCUUUCGUCGGGGAAGAAAAUGACUGUACCCGAAUAAGAAGGUCCGGCUAACUUCGUGCCAGCAGCCGCGGUAAUACGAAGGGACCUAGCGUAGUUCGGAAUUACUGGGCUUAAAGAGUUCGUAGGUGGUUGAAAAAGUUAGUGGUGAAAUCCCAGAGCUUAACUCUGGAACUGCCAUUAAAACUUUUCAGCUAGAGUAUGAUAGAGGAAAGCAGAAUUUCUAGUGUAGAGGUGAAAUUCGUAGAUAUUAGAAAGAAUACCAAUUGCGAAGGCAGCUUUCUGGAUCAUUACUGACACUGAGGAACGAAAGCAUGGGUAGCGAAGAGGAUUAGAUACCCUCGUAGUCCAUGCCGUAAACGAUGUGUGUUAGACGUUGGAAAUUUAUUUUCAGUGUCGCAGGGAAACCGAUAAACACACCGCCUGGGGAGUACGACCGCAAGGUUAAAACUCAAAUGAAUUGACGGGGACCCGCACAAGUAGUGGAGCAUGUGGUUUAAUUCGAAGAUACGCGCAGAACCUUACCAACACUUGACAUGUUCGUCGCGACUCUAAGAGAUUAGAGUUUUCGGUUCGGCCGGACGAAACACAGGUGCUGCAUGGCUGUCGUCAGCUCGUGUCGUGAGAUGUUGGGUUAAGUCCCGCAACGAGCGCAACCCUCACUUUUAGUUGCCAUCAUUAAGUUGGGCACUCUGAAAGAACUGCCAGUGAUAAGCUGGAGGAAGGUGGGGAUGACGUCAAGUCCUCAUGGCCCUUACGUGUUGGGCUACACACGUGCUACAAUGGUAUCUACAACAGGAAGCAAGACUGCGAAGUUAAGCAAAUCCCUAAAAGAUACCUCAGUUCGGAUUGCACUCUGCAACUCGAGUGCAUGAAGCUGGAAUUACUAGUAAUCGUGGAUCAGCGUGCCACGGUGAAUGCGU